rnacentral:rRNA from 1 species
AUUGAACGCUGGCGGCAGGCCUAACACAUGCAAGUCGAACGGUAGCACAGAGAGCUUGCUCUCGGGUGACGAGUGGCGGACGGGUGAGUAAUGUCUGGGAAACUGCCCGAUGGAGGGGGAUAACUACUGGAAACGGUAGCUAAUACCGCAUAACGUCGCAAGACCAAAGUGGGGGACCUUCGGGCCUCACACCAUCGGAUGUGCCCAGAUGGGAUUAGCUAGUAGGUGGGGUAAUGGCUCACCUAGGCGACGAUCCCAAGCUGGUCUGGGAGGAUGAGCAGCCGCCCUGGAACUGAGAGACGGUCCAGACUCCUACGGGAGGAAGCAGUGGGUAAUAUUGCACAAUGGGCGCAAGCCUGAUGGAGCCAUGCCGCGUGUAUGAAGAAGGCCUUCGGGUUGUAAAGUACUUUCAGCGGGGAGGAAGGCGGUGAAGUUAAUAGCUUCACCGAUUGACGUUACCCGCAGAAGAAGCACCGGCUAACUCCGUGCCAGCAGCCGCCGCGG